AUGUACAUUCGUACAACAUAGCGUUAAUGCACCGAUCCCAUUAGAACUCCACUGUUAAGUGUUCUCAGGUUAGAGUAGUAUUGGGAUGGGUGACCACCCGAGAAAUCCUAGUGUUUUACAUA
rnacentral:rRNA from 1 species